CCUACGGGAGGCAGCAGUGAGGAAUAUUGGUCAAUGGCCGCAGGGCUGAACCAGCCAAGUCGCGUGAGGGAUGACGGUCCUAUGGGUUGUAAACCUCUUUUGUCAGGGAGCAAAGGGCGCCACGUGUGGCGUUUUGCGAGUACCUGAAGAAAAAGCAUCGGCUAACUCCGUGCCAGCAGCCGCGGUAAUCCGGAGGAUGCGAGCGUUAUCCGGAUUUAUUGGUUUUAAAGGGUGCGCAGGCGGAAUGUCAAGUCAGCGGUAAAAUUUCGGGGCUCAACCCCGUCGUGCCGUUGAUACUGGCGGUCUUGAGUGAGCGAGAAGUAUGCGGAAUGCGUGGUGUAGCGGUGAAAUGCAUAGAUAUCACGAAGAACUCCGAUUGCGAAGGCAGCAUACUGGCGCUCAACUGACGCUCAUGCACGAAAGCGUGGGUAUCGAACAGGAUUAGAUACCCUUGUAGUC
rnacentral:rRNA from 1 species